AAGACUUAAGUUAAAUAAACUAUUAACCUUCAAAGUUAAAAUUAAUUAAAAUUAGACUUUGA
rnacentral:tRNA from 1 species